CCCUUAGAUGUUCUGGGCCGCACGCGCGCCACACUGAUGCAUUCAACGAGUUUCUUCCUGGUCCGAGAGGAAUGGGUAACCUUUUGAAAGUGCAUCGUGAUAGGGAUAGACUAUUGCAAUUAUUGGUCUUCAACGAGGAAUUCCUAGUAGACGUAGUUCAUCAGACUGCAUCGAUUACGUCCCUGCCCUUUGUACACACCGCCCGUCGCUCCUACCGAUUGGGUGUGCUGGUGAAAUGUUCGGAUCGGCCGUUUGUCGCGGUUUCCGCGUCAUGUGGCUGAGAAGUUCAUUAAACCCUCCCACCUAGAGGAAGGAGAAGUCGUAACA
rnacentral:rRNA from 1 species